UGGUUUCCUUUGAUGAGGCAUAGGUAA
rnacentral:piRNA from 1 species